ACCUCGCGCUAGUCAAAUGAAGUAAGCCUUAAAUAUGUCUUUACUCACACACUUUCUUCGUCAUUUUGGUCGAACAAAUAGAUGAAUAAAUCAGAGCUAACGUGAAAAAGACAAAUAAAAGAACUGACAAACAUUACUUUAAAAACCUAAACUCAAUAAUUGUAAUGCGAGGAUCCCCUGCGCCUCGACUCGGGCGUCUCUCCCGCUCCCCACGCACUUCCUGCCCGCAGCAUUUCAAAUAGCACGCGCUACAUACACGGUAAAGGAGACGUUUCUUUUAAAAAUUAUUUAGAGACAUAUUUACAUGGUCCAAACUGAAUACAUUUCUAUAGAAUAAAACGAGUAAAUGCAACAUCUUGUAUAGAAUAGAAAUAUUCAAUUAGCGCUAACCUUUAUAACGUUACUGCAGGCCGCGCAAAUUCAAAAAUUCGGUUAGUUACGAUUUCGUUAGUAUUCAUGUUCACAAACAACGCUAAUUAACUCAUAAACCGCUAAAAUACAUGUUCAACCUUUGCAUUAUCGAGUAUAUUAAUUAAAACAUUUCCAACCUACCUUAUUUCAUCCGAGUCCAGGGGAAAGAAAAUGGCGGCCGAGCAGAAAACUCCAGAAAGUCUCGUGAGUCAUGACGUCAGAAAAAAAAAACCGUCUUUCACGGGGUCCUUAAAGAGAAAUUAUCCUUUGGCUGAAAGUGAGAUAUUUGAGUAGUUGAGUGUACAAUAUUGAGAGCAAUUCGCAGAAAGACGAAGUAAUUAGACUCAAAUAGUUAUAGCAAUCCAACUUACACCCAUAUUCACUUACAGUGUAGAGGGGCUUGGGGACAAAAAGGUUGAGAACCAGGUUAUGUUUAGAAAAUACACUGUAAUUUAAUGUUGUUUUUAAUCCUUUCCCCAACUAAACUAAGAGAAUAAGAGAGUUAGAGAACCUUUAAAGAACUAUACAGAGGCUUAACAGGUUCUUUGUAUGGCAGUGGUGCUAUAUAGCACCUUAACCACAGCAAGGAACCGCUGAAGAACCACUGAAGUACCGCUGAAGAACCAUACAGGUGCUUUACUGGUUCUUUAUAAGGUAGCGGUGCUAUAUAGCACCUUAACCACCCCAAAGAACCGCUGAAGAACCGCUGAAGAACCAUUUUUUUUUAGAGUGUACUGUAGAAUCUGAGUACAGCAUAGUACUGUAGAUUUUGUCGUUUUCACAGCUUGUUAGGUCUACUGUAUUCUUAAUAGUUCCCAACUGUAUGGUCCCAAGCUGUGUAGAGUACGUUACUGUAUAUUUUCAAUGCAUUCUGGAAAAAAUAUUAGCCUACUGCACUAAUUGACUGUGAAAAACAACCACACACCUCCUCACGCAUGACAGGCUCAUCAUCAAGAUGAAAGCCCACAAGAGUAUGGUAGGUUAACUUUUUUCUCUUUUUUUUUCUCUCUAUGUUUUAUUCUGAUGUUAUUUGCAAGAUAUAAAGCUACAUUUUAGUUAAUAACUUAACAUAAAAAUAUGUGAUCAAGCGUUCAUUUUCUGGCCUUUUCCCUUUUCCUCCUGCAGCGUGGUGAAGAUGAAAGUCCGAGGAUGUUUGAGUUAAUAAAUAUAAACAUCGGAGCAGGUGAGCAUUUCCCAAUUAAGCCGCACUAACUAGAAUUUUCCUUCUGCAGCGGUGCUGGCAGACCGGCUGGACCAUCGCGAGAUGGCGGAGCCGUUGUGAAGACAAGAUUGUAGGCUACCAAGAUUGUACCAUUUUGUACCAAGAUUGUUUGCAAGCGGCGCCAGCGCUGGCAGACCGGCUGAACCAACGUGAGACAGGCGGGAAGAGUCGUUGUGAAGAGGAAAAGCAUACGAGAAAUUGACGGGCUGAACUAUCGUGAGACAGGCGGGAAGUCGCAAUAAAGAAGACCCUUUUCUUUAAAGCAUGUGGUUUUAAGAUGUAAGAUAUUCGUUGGUUAUUGUUGUAUACUAGCUUCUAAUUAAGUACUUUAACUCUUCAAACUUUUUUUUUUCUUUUUUUUUUUUUCAUCAUUUAUUUUCCACUAGUAAAAUGUGUUAAUGUGAUUUUAGUGGUAUGACUUUAAUUGUAUGUUGUUAAUUGAUGAAAUUAAUAUGCUGGUAAAUCUGUAUUGAAGUUCAGCUAUGAGAUGUAAAAGAUGAAACCUAAAUAAAG